UUCAUGACUAAAACACAGAAAACAAUGGCAACAGAAGCCAAAAUUGGCAAAUAGAAUCUAAUUAAACUAAAGAGUGUCUGCACAACAAAAGUAACUACCAUCAGAGUGCACAGGCAAACUACAAAAUGGGAGAAAAUGUUUGCAAUCUAUCCAUCUGACAAGGGCUCGUAUCCAGAAUCUACAAAGAAUGUAAACAAAUCUACAAGAAAAAACAGCCCCCUCAAAAAGUGGACCAAGGAUAUGAACAGACACUUUACAAAAGAAGACAUACGCGAGGCCAACAAACAUAUGAAAAAAU